rnacentral:rRNA from 1 species
UACGUAGGGUGCAAGCGUUGUCCGGAAUUAUUGGGCGUAAAGAGCUCGUAGGCGGUCUGUCGCGUCGGAUGUGAAAACCCGGGGCUUAACCCCGGGCCUGCACUCGAUACGGGCAGACUCGAGUGUGGUAGGGGAGACUGGAACUCCUGGUGUAGCGGUGAAAUGCGCAGAUAUCAGGAAGAACACCGGUGGCGAAGGCGGGUCUCUGGGCCACUACUGACGCUGAGGAGCGAAAGCGUGGGGAGCGAACAGG